AUACGUAGGUGGCAAGCGUUGUCCGGAAUUACUGGGUGUAAAGGGCGUGUAGGCGGAGCGGCAAGUCAGAAGUGAAAUCUCCGGGCUUAACCCGGAAACUGCUUUUGAAACUGUCGCCCUUGAGUAUCGGAGAGGCAGGCGGGAUUCCUAGUGUAGCGGUGAAAUGCGUAGAUAUUAGGAGGAACACCAGUGGCGAAGGCGGCCUGCUGGACGACAACUGACGCUGAGGCGCGAAGCGUGGGGAGCAAACAGGAUUAGAUACCCUGGUAGUCCACGCCGUAAACGAUGGAUACUAGGUGUGGGGGGACUGACCCCUUCCGUGCCGCAGUAAACACAAUAAGUAUCCCACCUGGGGAGUACGACCGCAAGGUUGAAACUCAAAGGAAUUGACGGGG
rnacentral:rRNA from 1 species